UUGCUCUUUAACAAUCUGGAACAAGCUGAAAAUUCGAAAAYACUCGGAUUGCUUUUAAUAAAGUGAUCCGAGAGUCUCUCAAAUGCUUACAGCACGAAGUGAAACACCUUCGGGUUGUGA
rnacentral:sRNA from 1 species